CCUACGGGUGGCAGCAGUGGGGGAUAUUGCACAAUGGGGGAAACCCUGAUGCAGCGACGCCGCGUGUGGGAAGACGGUCUUCUGGAUUGUAAACCACUGUCCCCAGGGACGAAAAUGACGGUACCUGGGGAGGCAGCUCCGGCUAACUACGUGCCAGCAGCCGCGGUAAUCCGUAGGGAGCAAGCGUUGUCCGGAUUUACUGGGUGAAAAGGGAGCGGAGGAGGGGAUGGAAGUUGGGUGUCAAAACUACCGGCUCAACCGAUAGUCGCACUCAAAACUGCAACUCUUGAGUGAAGUAGAGGCAGGCGGAAUUCCUAGUGUAGCGGUGAAAUGCGUAGAUAUUAGGAGGAACACCAGUGGCGAAGGCGGCCUGCUGGGCUUUUACUGACGCUGAGGCUCGAAAGUGUGGGGAGCAAACAGGAUUAGAUACCCUUGUAGUC
rnacentral:rRNA from 1 species